UUUUAAGUGGAUUCUAUAUCUUGGCAUCUUGGACGAGGACAUGAUCACAUGAGGCUUAAUUUUUCAGUGGGCAACUGCAGAUAUGCCUGCACUUUGUGGCUGUGCAGUUUUGCAGGCCAUCUGAUCUGAUUAUACAUAUCCUGACCAACGCCCCUGCAAACUAGUAGAUUUUGAUUUGUGCCAUGGAAAACCAAUGGUGCCGUGUGUAUCCUGCAACUUGCAAAUGCGUACGUGUUAGGUUGGCAGUUAGCUUGCUCGGAAUUGAUGGCAGAAGGCCAGGAUAAAUACUUGACUGAUGAAGAUGAUAUCUCCAAGAGAGAUAUGAGCGUAGCCAUCAUCAUCUCCAAAGAAAAAAAGGGGCGUUGUGGAACUCGCUGAAAGCUACAGGAAUUCGCAAAAUAAACGAUCCGGGGAUCUCUUCUGAUAUGCUCCAAACCUACUUGAAGAGCUGCGCAUCUUUGUAUUAAGAGAGGAAAGAAGUCCAAUUACAAAUUCAUCACCUUACCUUGGACUAAAGUAAGGGAUGUAACGACAGAAAAAGGAAACAUAGACUAUUACAAGCAAAGAAGGGAAGCUGGAUCUGACCACCACUAGAACUCCUCUAACCAGCAGCUACAAAAAUCCUUCUAGGCUUAAGGUAGAAAGCCCUUUGGCGCUCGAGAUUUCCCAGAGAAGAAAUUCAUCCUUAGUCUGAAGAGCUUCUUGUAAAUUAGGAGCAGCUCCAUCGAAUACGCAGGACAUCCAAACAUUCGAUGUAACAGCGGCUGAAAACAAACAUAGCUGGACCGCCGUGCGACACCAGGCCCCGACGGGUGGCCUGACCACUGGCAGCGUCCACCACCACAGAGCUUCCAGCUCGUUCGCUAGACCCAGAAUUAUUGGCAUCGUCCUGUCCUAGUCAUCGCAAUCCGCGUUCCGUUGCUGACCGUGACCAGUCAUUGUAUACGUACAUGUGCCCUCAUCAGCCGGCAUUGUCUGCAUCGACAUGGGCCGGGAGACGGGGUCCAUUUUUUUUU